rnacentral:rRNA from 1 species
UACGUAGGGGGCGAGCGUUGUCCGAAGUUACUGGGCGUAAAGCGCGCGUAGGCGGGGGAGCAAGUCCGCUGUGAAAGCCCGGAGCUUAACUCCGGAGGGUCGGUGGAUACUGCUUCUCUUGAAGUGGCUAGGGGGAGAUGGAAUUACCGGUGUAGCGGUGAAAUGCGUAGAGAUCGGUAGGAACACCAGUGGCGAAGGCGGCUCUCUGGACCACAACUGACGCUGAGGCGCGAAAGCUAGGGGAGCAAACAGG